rnacentral:rRNA from 1 species
UACGUAGGGGGCAAGCGUUGUCCGGAUUUAUUGGGCGUAAAGAGCGUGUAGGCGGCCAGGUAAGUCCGCUGUGAAAGUCGGGGGCUCAACCCUCGAAUGCCGGUGGAUACUGUCGGGCUAGAGUGCGGGAGAGGCGAGUGGAAUUCCUGGUGUAGCGGUGAAAUGCGCAGAUAUCAGGAGGAACACCAAUUGCGAAGGCAGCUCGCUGGAACGUAACUGACACUGAGGGACGAAAGCUAGGGGAGCGAAUGGG